CGCAGAGGGGUCUCUACCUGGGCUAAUGUGCUGCACUCACCCCUGAAAACCAAAUCACUUGUCACUAGAGUCGGGGAUCUUCAUCUGCACUGCCUCCUCACCCCCCACAAGUCCUGCUGCUAGGGCUGCCAGAGUCCCACAGCCUGGGCACCAACGUGAAGGGACUCCUUCUGUCCCUGUGGGUCAGCAUCUCUCUUGGCAGGGUUUUGCAACCACAGCCCUAGUGACCUGGGGACCCGGCAGCUGCCAUUCUGAGCAUCCUCAGAUGCUUAGGCACAUCCUUGGCUUCUACCCGUCAGAUGCCAGAAGCCCCCCGCCCGGUGCCCAGCCUCCCAGGUAGGAUGAGCCAUUUCCAGGUGUCCCCGGGGGAAGGAAGGACGGACGGACGGACGGCACCAGUUCUACAGGCUGCAGCCGCGGGAGCCCAGCCAGGAGGGAGGAGUGGAGAUGAGCUUUUCUUCUGGCUCAACUCAGAAAAGUCCUUCACAGCCCUGUCCUGGGUCCACUCUGAUGCCACGGAAUAGGCGACGAGGGAGGCUCGCUGCCCAACUUUUGCAGGCUGGGAAUAUUCCAGAAGGUCGGGAAGAAGUCGACAGGCAGAGCCCAGAGACCUGACUUCUCCACGGAGCUUCUAGGCACGCCCAGGCCCCCGGCCUCGGGAUCUCACCUAAGGGGGGCCCACUUGUGCCCGGGCAGGGGGUAGGUCGCAGACAGACCAAAGUAGGUGCCAGGAGACAGCCUGUGAGACGUGAUUUAUUGGGAAUGAUUACAAGAGAUCAGCGACCGCUCCAAGAGGAGCUCCCGGUUCAGGCUGAGGUUCAGCACCUCCGACCCCACGGUGCUCCACCAAGCAGCACCUCUGCUCUGUCAGGGUGCUUUGUCCAGUGGAAAUUGGCUGGAGGAGUGCCACAUGUCCCUUUCACUGUGCCCUCAGCUCCACGCCUGUCCCCACCCAGAGAGGGGAUUUAUGUGUCAGGCUGCAGAAGCAGUGACGUCACCAGCAUCAGCUUGCUCCGUAGCUUGUCUGACCAGCGUCCCAAGGAGCAACUGUCCUGCUGUACCUGCAAGAAAGUAGCUUUCCAUGGACAACUCCAACUCGCUCCAGGUCCCCAGUGUGCACAAGAGAAAGCCAGCGUCCUUCAAGAUAAGAUGCGUCUGAACUUCCCGCCCAGGAUGCCUCUCAGCAUUCCCUUAACUUGGCUAGGGGUGGGGGGAGCACAAAGGAGGCGUGCAGGGACAUGGGGUUUCACCGGCCCCCUUUGCUUUAGGGAUGAUACAGGGGGCAGAAGGGAAAGCACAAGGAUUUUAUAUUUUUAUCUGAAGACUUAUGUUUCCAUUCCACUACCAGCUGUGUGACCUUGAGCCAGCUUCAUAACCUCUCUGAGCUUAUUUUCUUGUCUAUAAAAUAUGACUAAUACUAUCUACCUUGAGCAUCACAGGGUCAAAGAAAAAGUGUGUAAAUCCCCCGCACUGUGCUCAAUACGGUAUUAAUAGAGGCAGCGAUAGAUGUUUUUUUCUAACCAUCUCUGAGCAAAUCCCUGACCUGCCGGAGACCCUCAUUUAUCCUCACCAGGGCCACAGGAAAAACAGCCGACUAGCGUCUCCCCCACCAAGAGGACAAAGAGGGCCCGGGAGAAGACGGAAGCGGAGCACCGAGGCUUCAGCAAAGGCCUGUCUGGGAAGAGGACCUUUUCAUGCUUCCGUCGUCACACCUCAGGAGCCUUCAUGGAUCGGCCCUCACGUUGCCAGGACUACAUGCAGGGGGCCAGCAGGACUGCCUUAGUGCGCUCAUGCUGAUUCAAUGACUCACCACGAUCCUAAUAUCAGAAGGAGUGUGGUGUAAUGCCACAGAGGUGAGCUGGAGCUGAGCCUGUGAAGUUGUGGGCUGCACUGAGGAGUCAGCCUGGGGGUCUGGCCUGAGGAAGUAAAUCCUGCCUGCAGGUAUGUUGGUGAAAUCCAUGAUUCUAGAACUUUCCUUUCUUUUACCCUGUCUCUCCUUCCAGAUUUUAAGUCAAGGGGCCUUGAAGUUGCUUUGGGCUGUUCUUAGAGCAGAUUUGGAUGGGUCAGCUGACUUUUGCUUUCAUGCUCUUGUUAGAUGCAGACUGUGAAUCAGAGAGGGUUGGGGCUGCGGCUGGGGAUCCACUAUGUGCCUAGUGAGUGCACUUGGCCGUGAACUCACAUUUGGGAACGUAACAGGACAAAAUGAUCACGACUAUUUGGGGCUGAGGAAACUCAAACUCAGUGAGGUUAAUCCAGUUGUCCAAAGUCGCAUCUGGGUGGCACAGACAGGACAGACACUCGUGGAACCACGCUCUGUGUCAGAGCAUGGAGUUACUGCUAAGAUGCUCCUGGCCAGACUCCCUGCAAGCGCCUUGACCCGACUGGCUAAAUCUUGCCCCAGCAGAAAUCCUGGGUGGGGAGCGGGAGAAUCAGAGCUCUCCGUGUUCCUCUUGCCCGCACACUUCAUUUGUCUAUCCAAAAAAAAAUAUUAGCAUCAAGACCCGUGCUAGGCACUGGCCGAGUCUCAGCAGACCUGACAAACCUGGCCUCCCCUCCUGAGGUCCUUGGUGCCCGUGCCUGGUGUGAACUAUGAAUUCCCACAGAGGGCUUGUCCACACAUGUGCCAGGAGGCCUGACCCGAGCAGUCUUCAGCCUGGCUUCCAGCACACAAGGCCUUGUCCCUAAAGCUGACUCCAGCCCCCAACCAGAGCUGCAACCCAUCAAGCCACAAAAGAUGCACGUCCCAACCCACCUGGCCAAACCUCUUUCAGCAAUCCCAUGUCCCCAGAGCCUCCUCUUGUCCCCUCUCUGUUCCCUCUGGAAUCCUCAGCCUCCCCUGUCUGGCGGGAGCUGUCUGUACUGCAGGCUCCCCUGGGGCGGCUGUCUGAUGCAGCCGUCUUGCCAUCUUUAACUCAUAUCUGUGCUGCUUUUCUUUGUCACUGAAUUCCCACAGAACUCAGGUGGACGGGAGGCUAGCGGGGACCCUGGAGGGUGGGUUCUGCUUUGGGCUCCGUGCUAAGGAGUUUGUCCUGAGGCCAGCUGGGAAAUACUUGUGCUUGUGAAGCCGUGUGGAUCAGGUUCCCCCGAUGAUCCUCCAAGUUCCCAGGAGCCAGUGGGUCCCUCACUGUGCCCUGCUCUGGGUCAGAGCCCCUGGGUUCCAGCCAUUCUUCACAUGCAAGCUGACCCCUUCCAUUGUCUUCUCCAGAUGGAUGCGUUCAUUGGAGAAGAGCUCGUUGUCCUCCUAAGGAACUUCUCCACUGACCGCUGUGUGUUGAGGUUCAGUCUAUUCCCUGGCCCUCUGGUCCUAUCGGGGGGCAGUCUGCAUCAGAAAGCCCUGGCAGUGACCCACAGGUAGACACUGGCGUGGCUUGAGAGUGCGUAAGGGUGGCAUGACCCCUAACCGCUCCUGCCAUGCCGUCAUGGCUCCGAGUCCUUGUCCAGAGGCCCAGCCAAUGACCAGGAGCCUUCCCUGGGAUGUUCCACACUGAGGCUGAGUGGGACGUUGUCUUCCCUCUUGGGCCUCCAGGAACAAGGUCACCCAGAUGCAGCCUGUGGCCGUGUUCCCAGCAAGCGGGAAAGGGGCUCAUUCGCAGCAGCAGGAGCGGAAGCCAAGAGGCGAAAGAACCAGGGGAGACGGAGAAAAGCCCUGGUGUGAAGGGAGGCGGCUGCUCUCCACCUCAGCACAUCUGCUCCUUCCUUUCGCACCCAUCUCCAUGGGGAGGAGGCACUGGGCCAGGCCGGCUGCAGAACCUCCCUUCCCCGGGAAUCUGCACUGGAAAGCAGGUCUCGGCCGUUUCCAGGUGUGGUGGCAGCUGCCCUUGUCCCUGCAGGGAGAACGCCUGGCACCAGGGGCAGGCGAGGGCUUUCCUCCCUGGAGGUGGACCAGCUGGGCAGGAAAGGGACCGCGGCACACUCUCAAGGGACAGAGACGACAAUUUACUCUCAAAGGGGGCUAAGGUCCGCCUGAGUCACUGAGGCUGCAAGACCACCGCAGGUUACAUCUCUGUCCCUUAGCCCUACUGCACGUCGACGUCACCUAGGAAGUCUUUUUCAAAGCCCCCAACAUCGCCAGGCAGAUGGCAUUUGGGGUGGGACCUCGGCACAGGCUGUGGGUGCCCCCCUGGGGGGUUAAGAUGAAAGCAGCCGUCCUCAGGGUCAGAGGCUCAGCCUGGGAGCUUGUUCACACUGACCGCUGGCUCCACCUGGAGGCCUGGUGAGCGGGUCUGGGAGAGGCCCCAGAACUUGCAUUUUGAAUGGGUUUUGUGUUGACGCCCUGUUGUGAGAACCACCAGCUUUAACCGUGACCGAUAAAGGAAGCAUCAGUUAAGAAGGCACACAAACGCCUUCGUUCCUGUAAGUACUGCCGUGACCCUCCCUGCUGACACACCAUCAUUCAGGACUUGAGAAAAACCCUUUCCCACUGCUGCUCUGAUCCAAUGGGGUCCUGUCUAAGGUUUAGGGGGAGGACAGGAGGCUGUGCAUGGCCACUUCCGGUGGCCUCGCCUGUGGGCUAGCCUGGUUCCUGGGCCAAGGGGGCCCAAGAGGGUCUGCUCGCCUGGACUUUAGACAGAAGACCAAACAAGACACGUUUCUGAGAGCUGAAAACACGAACCUUUCUCUGCACAAAUGCAGGGGACACCUGCCAUCUUUCCGCUGUCCCACGCAUCCCCACUCUCUGCAGUGGCUGGAGUCCUGACUCACAAGGCCCUGUGGACGGCAGCAGAGGGAUUGCUAAGCGGCACCAGCAUCCCCACUCCACACCCUGGAAGAAGGCUGCCUGGCUCUUCCCGUCCGCUCUGAGGCCUUCCGUUUCUGCAGAAGGUAGCCAGGGUCCACUUCUGUGGCUCGGCACCAGAGCUCCUCUGAUACACCAGAAAGUCCCCAAUGACGGAUGCACAUGCCGAGUGUCAGAUGGCCGUGGCAUGGGGGACAAAGAAACGUAGAUGCUCAAUCGAUAAUGGAAGGGCCUGGCUGCUCAGAACAGGCAGAAGUCAUCCGGCAGAAGAUUGAUGGGGGAGCGGCCUCCGAGGGUCUCGCUGGACACUUAAGUGUAGGUGACGUAUGAGCAGCGCCUCCUUUUCAGACAUGAAAGCACUGUGGUUAGGGCCCAGGUGCCCUUGGCCACUAACUUCACCCUGGGUUCCCUCCCUCCCCCACCCCAAAGGCAAACAACCCCGGCCUUUGGGUGCGGAUCCUGCCGGGUGCCUGUGUGCCUUCACACACCCGCGUGGAAGCGUGCACUUUCAUCCCCGUGGAGAGCAUAUGGUACCGGGCUGCAGAGCUGACUCACUCACUUUCUAAGAAACUAACUUUACGGAGCUAUAAUUUACAUACAAUAAAAUGUGCUGUCGGAUCCGUUUUAACAAACAUGCACACUCAGGCAGCCACAACACCAAGACAGAGUCAUCCAGAAUGUCCCCGUGACUCCUGACGGUCAACCCCGUCCCCCCACCAGCCUUUCCUCCGUGUUGUCACUGUGGCUAGCUUUGCCUUUUCCAGAAUUUCCUAGGAAGAGUAUCAUACAGUGGGACUCUGGUGUCCGGAGCCUUCCGUUCAGCAUCUCUCUGAGGUUCCCAUGAUGGUUGCCCGUCAUGGCCGAUGCUCCUCUGUUGCUAGGUGGAGUUCCCUGUGUCAUCUGCCACAUACGUCCGUCCCCUCUCCUGUGGGUGGACAUCUGGAUUGCUUCUCACUUGGGGCUCUUAGAGGCUUUUUGGCUUUGAAUCAUGUCUGUGAUCCGUUUUGAGUCACCCUGAGGAUAAAAGGUGACGGAGGUGUGAACGCUCGCCUCGCCUCCUUUACCCAGCGUCGGUGACAGCUCUUGAGGGUGCUCUCCUCCAGUCUCACGACUUACCUACUAUUCCUCGUCCCGACGCCCAGAACCCAGCUUCCCCAUCCCUGACCCAUCCAUCGGUCCCGGAUUCCAAUCCACAAGGGUUCCGACUGCUGUGGUGUCCAUCUGCCUUUCACGGACAGUGAGAACCGGGUGUCGUGAGGCCAUCUGUGGAGGCGGAAGGAAGACUUCCCCGGGACCCAGGGUUCCACUUUGACACAGCUACCCAAGAGAAGUGGAGAUGUGUGCUAAUACUCACAAGGACUCUAUUCCCCAGAGUCCUUCAUUCACCAACUCCAUCCAUCUCCGCGUGAUUAUCCAGCUGGCACCUCCACUGGACACGGCUAAAGGAGAACCUUCGAUUCCACCCUUCCCCUGUUGGCCGCUCCCCGGCCUCCUCCAUCUCAGUCCACGGCGUGGAAUCUGCGGGGCCCAGGCUCUUUGGGCUGAGCACCUGGCUGGGGGGUUGGGGGCAGGCCAGUCAGUGGGGAAGGUAUGAGGACUUCCCACCACCCCUUCCUCUAUCACAGCAGACGGACUGUUGGGACGCCCUGUGUGGGAAGAGGGAGAGGACUUCUGACCCUCAGGCCUUCAGGUCGUUCUGGGGCAUCUUGGAGCCACCAGCUAUGGGCCAACAUGUCCACUCCACAUGCUUGUGAGAGGGAUGAGGAGGACUCCGUAUUGCAGACACAGACUCUCUAGUUGGACGUCCCCUGCCCCUCUUUGCCGCCACUUUUGGGACUUCCUACCGCCCACCAGAGUGGCUUUUCAGGGAACCCACGGCCAGCCACUGUGUGAUGGUGAGCUCCCCCGGCCCCUGCCGGCCACGCCGCCCACCUGGCUCUGAGCAGAUUGUUCCUUUUGCGUUAGCUUUUUAGGUGCUUAAACUUAUGAGACUAGAUUAAAGGGGGUGAUGUGCGUGUGCACACCCCAUCCCACUCUUUCCACACA